GUUCAAAAGAGGAAAUGCUUGCGGUGGAUACCUAGGCACCCAGAGACGAGGAAGGGCGUAGCAAGCGACGAAAUGCUUCGGGGAGUUGAAAAUAAGCAUAGAUCCGGAGAUUCCCAAAUAGGUCAACCUUUUAAACUGCCUGCUGAAUCCAUGAGCAGGCAAG
rnacentral:ncRNA from 1 species